AUUGAACGCUGGCGGCAGGCCUAACACAUGCAAGUCGAGCGAGCGGCGGACGGGUGAGUAAUGUAUGGGGACUGCCCGAUAGAGGGGGAUAACUACUGGAAACGGUAGCUAAUAACGACACCUAUCGGAUAACCCAUAUGGGAUUAGCUAGUAGGUGAGGUAAUGGCUCACCUAGGCGACGAUCCCUAGCUGGUCUGAGAGGAUGAUCAGCCACACUGGGACUGAGACACGGCCCAGACUCCUACGGAGGCAGCAGUGGUGAAUAUUGCACAAUGGGCGCAAUCCUGAUGGUGCCAUGCCGCGUGUUUUAAGAAGGCCUUCGGGUUGUAAAGCACUUUCAGCGAGGAGGCGUUACUCGCAGAAGAAGCACCGGCUAACUCCGUGCCAGCAUCCGCUGUAUUUC
rnacentral:rRNA from 1 species